AUUGCUUACACUAUUGUUAGUGUAUUAUAGUAAUGUUGAACGGAACGGAACAAUAUAAUUUAGAAAUUACAAAAAUUGAACAAACACACCGAUUAUAAUAAAAUUGUAUUGAAAAAAUCCAACUUGUAUUCGACGAAAAAUUAAAAAAUUUCAACAACUCUUAAGAAAGAUAGAAUGUGUUAAAAUUAUUCUUUAGUUACAUACAAUAUAUGGUUUUUGUGUUCAUGAAAAUAGAUUGACUUAUUUGAGCAUGAUCCAGUUAGAAAAUGUGACAAGGUCGAUUUUUAGCCUAUAAUGUUCAAUCAUUUUAAAAUGGAAAAGUUUCAAAUUUUUCUACUGAAUGAUCUCAUCAUCAAAAUUAGAAGACACUUUCCAUUUAGGUAGAAUCGUAAAAUUUAGCGCAAAGGAAUCUCCUAUUAAUUUUCAGAAUGCAUAUCAGUGAAAGCAUCACCUCUUCACAUCAGAUGUAUAUGGACUUGAGGCCCGUAGACUAUGAACCCUUAAUAUUGAAAAAUAUCCAAGGGCUCCUGGAAUUGUUGAGUAGCAGGAUAGGCCAGGCCGACCCAGUCUACGUCUAUGACUUGCAACAAAUUUUCUAUAAUAUAAUAUUUGAUCAUUUUGUAUAAACGAUUCAAAUUAUUUAAAUAAUAACAAUUAUAAAAAAAUUGUAAAUUAUAUUAAUU